UCAACAACGUCAAGAGGGUACUGAAGAAAUGGAAGACAUCAGAGGAUCAACAAAGGAAGAUGAUGGCUUAGCUGGAAGAGGAGGUCAACAAAGAUGAAAGUUUGCUUCAACAAACACCGUUUGAUGAAGCAAUUCAUGAUAGGUUAGAAGCCACAAAUAGGAAGAUAGAUGCCCUAACUAAAACGCAAUAGGAAAAUGCUAGACAAAGGAGUAGAGCCUACUAGUUGCACCUAGGGGAUAAGAAUACUAAGUUCUUUGCAGCCAUGACCAAACAGAGAAAAGCAUUAAAUUCUCUAUACAGGAUGCUAGGGCCAAAUGGGAGGGUAAUGGUGUCUAGGAGUGAGAUGGAGGAGAAGACCCUAGCACAUUUUAAGAACCUGUUUGCUGAAGGGGAGGAGAGCAUCUCUAGGGAAACUAGGAAUUUUACAAAGAGAGUAACACCACAACAGAACCUAGACCUAGAGCAAAUCCCUACCUAUGAAGAGGUAAAAAAGGUUGUAAUGAGCCUAAAUCCAGAUAAGAGCCCUGGUCCAGAUGGGUUUAAUGGAGCCUUCUUUAGGGCUUUUUGGACCAUAAUGGACAAGGAUCUAGUAAAAGCAAUACAAUCAAUUUUCGUAGGGGACCCACUCCUAAGGCAAGUGAACUCCACCUUUGUGACCUUAAUACCAAAAAUCAAAAAUCCUACUAGAUUGGAUCAAUUCAGACCAAUAUCAUGUAUUAAUACAACAUAUAAGAUCCUAUCUAAGGUCAUCACAAAUAGGGUGGUUCCAGUAGUAGACACCAUAAUAGACAACAACCAAACAGCCUUCCUCCCAGGAAGGCUAAUUGGGGACAAUUACCUACUAGCAACAGAGAUGGUGACAGGUUUUGGGAGGGGAAAUGGAGGGGCCAAUGCCGCUAUAAAGGUUGACCUAGCAAAGGCCUUUGACACAGUGAGCUGGGAGGCGAUAGAGGGUACAAUGGUAGACCUAGGAUUCAGCCAGAAGAUUGUGAGGAUAAUAAUGAUGUGCAUCACCACAUCAUCUCUGUCCUUCCUUGUAAAUGGCUCACCCACACCACAAAUCCAACCCAGGAGGGGAAUCAGACAAGGUGACCCCUUAUCACCCUACAUAUUUGCUCUAAUAAUGCAGAAUCUAACCAUUCUAAUCAAUGAGCGGGUAGCUAAGAAACAGAUUAGUACCUUUAAGAAACACAAUGUGAUGGGUAUAUCACACCUCAUCUAUGCAGACGACCUCCUUAUCUUUUGCAAAGCUAGGGAGGAGUCGUUCAAGUCGGUAAACGAGGUAUUCAGACUGUUUGAGGAAAGAACAGGGCUGAAGGUGAGUGAGCCAAAAAGUGAAGUCUUCUUCUCGAACUCCACCAAAGAGAAGGAAACCUUGCUAACCCAUCUAAAAUUCAAGGAGGGAGAGUUCCCCACAACCUACUUAGGUUUACCUUUGUCUCCUAGAAUACUAUACCAAAAGGACUGUGCACCUCUGAUAGAUAGGGUGAAUGGGAUGGUAGAGGGAUGGAAAACAAGACUACUAUCCCAUGCGGGCAGAGUUCAAUUAUACCAUUGGGGGAUAAUGGGAAUUUUUAAUUUUUGGAACAUGUCUAGCAGGCUCCCGGUGGAAACACUAAAGAAGCUACAAUCCAUUAUAUAUAGGUACAUAUGGAAUGGGAAACAGGAUAUGUCUUGGGCACAAAUGGUGCUACCCAAGAACGAGGGUGGGCUAGGACUAAGGAGCUAUCAUGAGUCGGCUGAGGCAGCCAGACUAACAAGAUUAGGAAGGAUAUGGUCAUCCCAAGACUCCAUAUGGGCCUCAUGGAUGAGGGGUAGAUACGUAGGUGGGAGGGGACUACUGAGCAUUAGUAAGCACCCAAGUUUAGACUCAGCUUUAUGGGCUGAAAUAAUUGACUAUAAAAAUGAAAUAGUGAAAACCUUAAGAUGUGAUCCCAACUACGAUUGUACUUGGGAGGGCAAAGGGACUUCGCUAACCUAUAAAAAUGCUUGGGACUCCGUGAGGGAAACAGAGGAGGUAGACAAUUACUGGGAGGGAAUUUGGACAACUAGUGUGAGAAAAUUCAGUAUGACACUUUGGAGAGCUAGAUGGUCCAAAAUCUCUAUGAGGGCAGAUUGGGCGGGUAGAAUGGGGGGAGAUGCCACGGAUUGCAUUUUAUGUGGGGGACCAUGGGAGUCACAAGACCAUGUGUUCUUUAAAUGCAAAUUCUCUAAGGACUUGUGGAAUUAUAUAUUAUCUGCGAAACCCCGUUUGAUUACAUGUGCAGGUCUAUCUUUAAAACAGGUUAUGGAUGAAGCACAAGCAAGAACAAAAAACUCAAUAUGCUGGGGAAUGACUUGGGCUUACAUUGCUGCAGUGGUGUGGGGGAUAUGGACAGAAAGGAACAGGAGGGUUCAUGAGGAUAGACGGACCAGGCCACAAGAGAUUGGGAGAAGACUAGUGGAAGAUAUCACCUCAACAUUCAUGCCGAGCAGGUACAAGGCAAUAGGGACAACUCAGGAACAAAGGAUGGCACAAGGCUGGAAUUGCGGGGGGGGAAAUGCCCCAAGUUAAUUGCUGUUUUAUUUUUGGUGUAUUUAAUUAAACUGCUUGUUGCAACUUAAAUUUGGUAGGAACAAAUAACAUGUAAUUGGUAGGCUAGCGAUAGGGGAGGGUUCAAUUAAAAAUAGAACCCAAACCUAUCAAUGGCAAAGGUCUAGCAUGUAUGGUACAUGGACUGAUCUAAAAAUCAUGUCCAUUAGGAACCCCUGGCCCAAUAGGGACAAGGAUCUUCCUAAGUCAUAGUAGAAACGAUAUGUGGAAUCACUUACAAAUUAGUGGACCGAAAGGUGAUGGCAGAGUUUUCCCUUGGAAAAGGAAAAGAGGCCAUGGGCACACCAGGGUUUUUACACUCCCCAUUGUCCAAGGCCCACUAUGUGAGAACGAUGAGGCAUAGAUCGUUAUAGGAACCAUUGAGUCAGUCCCCAAAGGCUUGGAAGAUUAGGCGAUCGUAAGAUCAAAUAAUUGGAUAAGCGCGGAGGGCGUGAGGUGGACCGUCUGUGGUCGCACUUCUUUUUUGUUAAGAUCUUUUAUAUUAUCAGUGAUUUUAACUCAAAAAAAAUUGGCUGCCACAAUUCGCCACAAGCCCAUGAACGCUUGGCUGCCACAAGCCCAUGUGAGAGUGAGAUAGAGGCGAUUGGGAGGGCGAUUAAAGGGCGAUCGUGUGUUCUUGGUUUCUUGCAGGUCUAGGAGUACGGCAGCACGGAGGGAGAGAGAAGAUUCCAGAGAAAUUUCAAAAUCAGGAUAUUUUACUAUUAAAUAUAUACUAUUUUCUAUUGUUUUUUAAAUUUUUAGGAUUAAACAUCACUGUUCAUUGUCCUCUUUCGCUGCAGGACACUCGUACUUCUUCUCCAUGGAGAACAUCUCCAUGGAGGUCGAUAAAGGCGGAGUUUGGACGGAGGUUAAUAGAAGGAACAAGGGAAGGUCUGGAGGGGAUUUUAAUCCGGUAGUUGGGACGCCGGCCAGAGGAGGAAGAGGUGGUCGCAGUCGCAGGGGCGGGAGGAGCUCUGUGCUGAAAACGCGAGGACGACGACAAGUUACGAACCCAUUCGAGGCUCUGACGCCGGAGGAGAAGGAGCGGGAAAUCAAUAGGCACAAGUGGGCGAGGCUCGCGGGGGACGGCUUCCUGCCGAAGGCUACGACGGAGGACGACGCUUGCAGGAGGGAACGGAUUCGGACAGGGAUGGGUUCACCGGAAGACGUAACUCUGCUGGAACUACAGCGCCGUGUACAUGCGGAGGUAAGACGCAACUCAAUGCUUGCAGGCGAUGGAACACUGUCGGGAACGAAAGACCAGUCGGAGAUUGAGAGAAGAGCAAGGGCGAGAGCCGGGAAAGCCACUGCCGAAGACAUCGCGGAGUUGGAAAAACAGAGGAUCGCAAGACGACAAUACGUGCAGAGGGCAAGGCUGGUUGACGAUGGAUGCCUUGGCCCUACUGGAGACAAUAUCGAAUUGCGGAGGCGAGCCAGAGUCAGGGAAGGCACCGCGAUACCAGAAGAUAUGACGGCCAUUGAGAACCAGCGUCGGGCAGCGAUGAUACAGAGGAUCGCGAACUUUAAGAACCCAUCGGUGCACAAAUCUUUCGCAUCUGUGUUGAAGCAGGCACCGGUGCUUCCAGAAGGAGUUACAACUGGACUGACCUACACGAAGCCUGCAGAACGAAAUGGGAGGACGGGGGCAUUACUGGGAGGGGAAUUAAUUAAGAAAUUGGAGAAGACGAGGUUCGCCGGAACGCUGCUGGUCCGGCGACUGGUUGACGAGAAGAUAUACCCACGCUUCGCGAGAAAUUUCAUCAAACAGGUAUGGGGAAUUAGUGGGGACCAAUUCGAGGUGCAGGUGAGGCAGUCCGGAGUGCUACUAAUCCAAUUCAGGCGGGGGGGAGACUACACGACAGUGAAGGACGCCGGCGACACUUGGAUGGAUGGGGUGUAUACGAUAGUGAGGAAAUGGACUGAAGGGAAGGCUAUGGAAAACGCGAAGGUCAAAACAUUGCCGAUUUGGGUAGGGUUACCGGAAUUCCCUGCGCAUAUGUGGUGCCAAGAGGUCUUCUCCACAAUCGGAAGUGUGUUGGGUUCGCCGGUAAAAACAGACGCACAUACGGCUAAAGGUUCAAACCCCAAUGGUGCAAAGUUACUGGUAAUUAUGGAGGCAACAGGGAGCUUCCCAACGGAAGUCCCAAUUUACAUUCAAGGGGACGGUGGGGUGGAGUCGGAGGAAACUUGCAGAGUCAACUAUCUGAAAAUGCCGCCGAUCUGCAAAAAGUGCAAUUCCUUCGUCCAUCAGGCGGAGCGUUGCAGAUUCGAGGAAGAGGCACCGGACGAAGUAGUCGGUGACCAGGAAGGGGCAAGGAGCAAAAAUCCGACGAUUGACGGAGAGAACAGCGAGAAAUCGAACGACGCAAACCGCUCUGAAACUCCCGCGAAGAACGACUCGGCUGGAGAAGACAGUCGACGUGGAGACGACGUGGCACAAAAACCCAAUCGGGAGGAGACAACUAAUGCUGAUGUGGCGAUGGGAACAAAUAGAAGAAGGCCAAAUCUUGAUGACGUGGACACAAGGGUCCUCAUAAAGGAGCUACAGAACCGGAUAUUAACAGAGCUGAUCGAAUCCGGGCAGGCGGAUAAGCAAGCGGGCGGGGAAGAUCCAUAUAGCGAGAUUGGGGAAGAAAAUGGAAGUAUAUACCAAUCAAUAUGUGGAAAAGUCAACAUGGGCAUAACCGGACCCGGGUCGGGCGGGCAAAUCGAACUAAAGGAAACCCAAUUAGAGAACGAUGGAGAAGAAACAGAGGAUUUAAGAAACAGGGCACUUCAGAGCAAGAAGGGGAAGGAGGAAGAUGAUGUUCCAGGGGAAGACCGUACAAUGAAUUGCCAGCGGAGGAGGAAGAAAAAGUUUCACGCUAGCAAGGACAAGCUGCAGAGAGAAGAUUCUCCACACUGUACGAUGGUGCAAACGCUAGCGGAAAGGAGGAGCGGGAUAGAAAACCAGGGUGGAACCCAACGUGAAACAGUGCAAGUCACCUCUGGGAAAAAGAGAACACGCGGUACGGAGGAUAUGGGAAGAGAGGACGUCGACGAUAAUGCAGAAUUCGUAGAGAUGGACAGUACAUCGACGGAUUUGAUCGUUAUACCAGUCGACGGUGACCUGGCAAAAUACGGAAGGAAGAAGAACGGUGAGGAAGACGAGUGCAGUGGAGUCAAUUAUUUAUUAAGGGGGGGGGGCUCUUAAAUAAAUUUCACAUGCCAGGCCUGAUCAGUCUGAACCAAUUCGGCAAAUCGAAAAUUCCAGGUCAGGUGCGUCUAAAUAAACACAUUUAUGGUCUGGACCAAUUGAGAUCAAUUAAGCUCUGGGGUGAGAAAAUAAGGUUCAGCCAAGAUCAAGUAACUACUGCAAGUGAAAUGCCAAGACUAACCCCGAGUCAACGAGUGGACCAAGGGGCAGAACAGACAAAAUUAGUUGGAAAGGAGGACCCGAUAACGUUUAAAGCGCAACCCAAAUCCAAAGAGGGGAAACUCAGAAAGGGGGAAGGAUUGAAAUCGAAAAGGGGAAGCGGUAGGAACCCGACCCGACCGGAGACCCGAAUAGCUGAACUUAAAAUUAAAAAGAAAACAGAGAUAUUGCCGGCAAGCGGAGGAAGGUACAGCACAGACUUAAGGAACCAGUCGCCGAUGACCACCAGGGCGGCGGCCAGCAACAAGAAAGUAGUGCAAACCGAGGACGCGUUGUCAAUGAUCCAAGACGCAUUGGAAUUGUCCACGCCGGUAACCAAUUUGGUGAAGAGAAAUAGAUCGCCAAGAAUCCCCAGUGGUGGGUUGCGGAAGAAACACAGGGAGAGCGACGAAACAGAGGAAAUAAUGGCGGAGGAUGAGCACGAGGGAGAACAACACCAGAUUGAGAAGCUCGGGGAAGUGAUCUCGCUACAGCAGAAUGGUGAAUUAACACCCAAUCGGGAAAACAGUCAAUUAAGCAAGGAUACAGAGCAACGGCAGGAUCGAUCUGGGAAAGCUCCAGGAACCCAUACGUCGACUUCGAGAGGUAAAAAAUUAUCUAAAAAUAAAUCCAAACAGAAAGCAAGGAGAGAAGUGGAGCUAGAAGCUGGGGCAUCUGCGGAGAAGGAGAUAUCGAUGAAGACCAGAGAAGACUAUCUGCUCAAUCCUGAACGACUCACGAACUGCAUAUCGGACAGACUGUCGGGAGCUCUAGAUUUUGCGGAGGAAGUCGGGAAUGAUGACGUCUCUGAUGGGGAAUAUGAGAUAGGCAGAAUUGUAUGGGACAAGCUGCCGGGAGAUGCGAUUACGAGAGAGGAGCAAAUUCAGGGUGAUAGUGGCCAGCUGGAGGAGUUCCGGCGAGAUCCAACCACCGUCUAAAAGCUCUGUUCCGACUUAACCACCAGGGGUGGGGUGAGUGGGGGAGGUGAGAUAAAUUAAAUAAAUUUAAUUAAGCUGAAAUUAGGAGAGAGUGAUUAGUCAAAUUAAAGUUAAUUAAUAAUCUGCUGAUUAGGUAAGCAAAUAGAGGUUAGUAAAAAUAAUUUAACCAAUGACUUACGAAAUGGGGGGAAAAUAUGGGAAAAUUGCAUGCUAUGAUUGGGGGGGGUAUGAGAGAGAUGCUUGUGGAUAAGAAUGAUAAAAUAAAAACAAAAAUAAAAAGGCUAAAUACAAUUAAAAAAGUCUGCACAUGGGCCAAAAUGAGGGGGGAGAAAAGGUAUGCACGUGGGCAAAAACCAAUUGGGUAAAAAAACAAUAAUAAGAAUAAAAACUGCAAUUAAAAAUCCUUGCACGUGGGUUUUAGUAAUGGUAUACAAGCACGUGGGUAGGGAGGGGCAACCAAAGAAAAAUGCUAGAAACUGGCCCAAUUGCACCAAAUGGGCAAUGGUCCACAAAAUUAAAAAUUCACUAUACAUGAACGUGGGGGUGGAAACCAUAAACGAAGAAUUGAAUAAAAAACAUUUGAUAUUCCUAGAUAAGCAAGUGGGGUGCAUAGAGAAAUCCAUUAUAGUGUGAAUGGGUCUAACCAACUCUUCAGAGUUGGGCAAGACCAAACCCCACACAAAAAUGGAGAUGGGCCUAAUCCAAGGGGGGAUGGAAAUGCAAGGGGGCAAAGGCAAAAACUUAGGAGACCUAACCAAAUUAGCAGAACUCAGAAUUUGGCCAAAAGUCAAAAUUGGCCGAAUUUGACUAGAAGUCAAACGAAUUUGACCAAUAAUCAAACAACAAUUUUGCCUAAGAGUCAGCGAUAUUGGAGAUGGGGUUUGUGCACUAUGGCUCCCGACAGUCAAAAUGGACAAUCCCUUACCACCCAAAUUCCCCAGAGUUUGAUCAAAAGUCAAAAUCAACCAAUUUUGGCCAAUAGUCAAAAUCAACUGAUUUUGACCAAUAGUCAAAAUUGGAGCUUGGGCAAGAGGCAAACCCGGGAUGAUACUACCCACCCGGUAGUGACCCGACAACGACCCAAUAGUGACCCGACUGGGACCCGUUAGCCAACCAGAACAAAAAAAAUGGUCAUCGAUACCACACCAAACCCUAGGCACACUAACAGACCCGACACAGACCCGAUAAACAAAAAGGCACCAAAAAUAAAAUAAAUAAAAUAAAAUAAAAACAAUAAAUGUCGUUUGGGAGCUGGAAUGUGUAUGGGCUGAAUAGUGACCUAAGGAAGAAUGCGGUAAAGAAGUUUGUGAAAAAACACAAGUUGGACCUCUUUGGACUUUAUGAAACUAAAAUCAUGAAGAAGAACUUCCAACAUAUCAGUAAGAUAUUUGGACAGAAAUUUUCGGUAAUAUCAAACAGAGAACAAUCUGACCCUAGGGCAGACUCUAUCUGGAUGGUAUGGGACACUGGUCUUUGGGACAUAGAAGAUCCAAUUCUACACGACCACUACAUACAUUGUUUUGCAAAAAACAAAGGGGGGUUCAAUAUAAACAUAACCAUGGUGUAUGCAUCGUCAGAUUACCAGGUGAGGGAGGAAACAUGGAGGGACCUAAAAACACUAAGUAGAGCCAUUAGGGGCCCAUGGAUUGUCCUUGGCGAUUUUAAUGAGGUUAGGAAUAGGGAAGAUAGGAUUGGAAAGCAUGCGGUUGUAAAAAUGCCCCACAUAAGACAAUUUAAUAAAGACCUAAAUGAAGCAUGCUUAAAAGAAAUUAUUAUAAAUGGCAACCCAACAACCUGGCAUAAUAAAAGACAUGGAGAACAUAGGGUCUGCAGUAGAAUAGACAAGGGCUUUGGAAAUACUGAACUGUUUGAUCUAUGGCCGGACAUCAGACUGGAUAGCCACUCAGGUGGAUCAUCCGAUCACCGUAGUCUAACCAUGGACCUUAGGACGGUGCAGGAGAAGAAGAAGCCCUUUAGAUUCACCAACUUAUGGUUAAGGAAGGAAGAACUGAAGGGGAUAGUACAAGAGGCAUGGCAGAUAGAUGUCUGGGGCACGCCGAUGUACAUUUUCACAAAGAAACUCAACAACGUCAAGAGGGUCCUGAAGAAAUGGAAGACAUCAGAGGACCAACAAAGGAAGAUGAUGGCUCAACUAGAGGAGGAGGUCAACAAGGAUGAAAGCUUGCUUCAACAAACACCGUUUGAUGAAGCAAUCCAUGAUAGGGUAGAAGCCACCAAUAGGAAGAUAGACGCCCUAACUAAAACACAAGAGGAAAACGCUAGACAAAGGAGUAGAGCCUACUGGUUGCAUCUAGGGGAUAAGAAUACUAAGUUCUUUGCAGCCAUGACCAAACAGAGAAAAGUACUAAACUCUCUAUAUAGGAUGUUAGGGCCAAAUGGGAGGGUAAUGGUGUCUAGGAGUGAAAUGGAGGAGAAGACCCUAGCACACUUUAAGAACCUGUUUGCUGAAGGGGAGGAGAGCAUCUCUAGGGAAACUAGGAACUUUACUAAAAGAGUAACACCACAACAGAACCUAGACCUAGAGCAAACCCCUACCUAUGAAGAGGUAAAAAAGGUUGUAAUGAGCUUAAAUCCAGACAAGAGCCCUGGCCCAGAUGGGUUUAAUGGAGCCUUCUUUAGGGCCUUUUGGACCAUAAUGGACAAGGAUCUUGUCAAAGCAAUACAAUCAAUUUUCGUAGGGGACCCACUCCUAAGGCAAGUCAACUCUACCUUUGUGACCUUAAUACCAAAAAUUAAAAACCCGACUAGAUUGGAUCAAUUCAUACCAAUAUCAUGUAUCAAUACAACAUAUAAGAUCCUAUCUAAGGUCAUCACAAAUAGGGUGGUUCCAGUGGUAGACACCAUAAUAGACAACAACCAAACAGCCUUCCUCCCAGGAAGGCUGAUUGGGGACAACUACCUACUAGCAACAGAGAUGGUGGCAGGUUUUGGGAGGGGAAAUGGAGGGGCCAAUGCUGCUAUAAAGGUUGACCUAGCAAAGGCCUUUUACACAGUGAGUUGGGAGGCAAUAGAGGGUACAAUGGUAGAUCUAGGAUUCAGCCAGAAGAUUGUGAGGAUAAUAAUUGAUGAAGCACGGAAUCUGCUACCAGUAGGCUCGCGGGGUUGCGAGGAGGGCCGGAGGCUUUGGAGUCCACGACGCGCGCUCUACGUCAAUGUACCUGCAGAAGAGGAGGGGAAUCGGCGACUCACGUGGGAGUAGGCGAUUCGGGCUCCUUAGUUUGCUCUGGUUGGAGUGUGUGUUGUCAAGAUGAGUUGAGGGUAGAGGUCCACCAAGGACCCCUUUUAUAGGGUCCUGGGGGACGUUUUCCCCAUUCAUUAGCGUGGGGCCCACCCCAUUAAGGUAUCCUAUUAAGGAAUGCCUUAAUGGCGAGGGUCCGCUCAAGUAACGGCUGGGAGUCGGCGAUUCAGGUGUGGGAAUCGCCGAUCCAGAGGUUCAAUCGCCGACUCCCCAUGAGCCUAGUGGCAGCCUACCAGAACUGUCCACAAGGCCUAGAGUUAGCGAUUCACCCCUGGAGUCGGCGACUUGGUAGUCCCAAUCGGCGACUCCCAAGUGUUAACUUGGGCUCUUGACGUAGACACGUGCUCCGCACCGUGGAAGCCUUUCCGGGGGUCCGGCAUAUAGCGACGGAACCCUAUUCCUUGUUUGAAGGGCGUUGCUGGGAGUGACUGACGUAAUCAGGCAUGUCUCACCAAUAAUGAUGUGCAUCACCACAUCAUCUCUGUCCUUCCUUGUAAAUGGCUCACCCACACCACAAAUCCAACCCAAGAGGGGAAUCAGACAAGGUGAUCCCCUCUCACCUUACAUAUUUGCUCUAAUAAUGCAGAAUCUAACCAUCCUAAUCAAUGAGCGGGUAGCUAAGAAGCAAAUUAGUACCUUUAAGAAACAUAAUGUGAUGGGUAUAUCACACCUCAUAUAUGCAGACGACCUCCUAAUCUUUUGCAAAGCUAGGGAGGAGUCAUUCAAGUCGGUGAAUGAAGUAUUCAGAGUGUUUGAGGAAAGAACAGGGCUGAAGGUGAGUGAGCCAAAGAGUGAAGUCUUCUUCUCGAACUCCACCAGAGAAAGGAAACUCUACUAACUCACCUAAAAUUCAAGGAGGGAGAGUUCCCCACAACCUACCUAGGGUUACCUCUGUCUCCUAGAAUACUUUACCAGAAAGAUUGUGCACCGCUGAUAGAAAGGGUGAAUGGGAUGGUAGAGGGAUGGAAAACAAGACUACUAUCCCAUGCGGGCAGAGUUCAAUUAUACCAUUGGGGGAUAAUGAGAAUUUUUAAUUUUUGGAACAUGUCUAGCAGGCUCCCGGUGGAAACACUAAAGGAGCUACAAUCCAUAACAUAUAGAUACAUAUGGAAUGGAAAACAGAAUAUGUCUUGGGCACAAAUGGUGCUACCCAAGAAGGAGGGUGGGCUAGGACUAAGGAGCUACCAUGAGUCGGCUGAGGCAGCCAGACUAACAAGAUUAGGAAGGAUAUGGUCAUCCCAAGACUCCAUAUGGGCAUCAUGGAUGAGGGGUAGAUAUGUAGGUGGGAGGGGACUACUGAGCAUUGGUAAGCACCCUAGUUUAGAUUCAGCCUUAUGGGCUGAGAUAAUGGACUAUAAAAACGAAAUAGUGAAAACCCUAAAAUGUGAUCCCAACUACGAGUGUACUUGGGAGGGCAAAGGGACUUCGCUAACCUAUAAAAAUGCUUGGGACUCCGUAAGGGAAACAGAGGAGGUAGACAAUUAUUGGGAGGGAAUUUGGACAACUAGUGUGAGAAAAUUCAGUAUGACACUUUGGAGAGCUAGAUGGUCCAAAAUAUCUAUGAGGGCAGAUUGGGCGGGUAGAAUGGGAGGAGAUGCCACGGAUUGCAUUUUAUGUGGGGGACCAUGGGAGUCACAAGACCAUGUGUUCUUUAAAUGCAGAUUCUCUAAGAACUUGUGGAAUUAUAUAUCUGCAAAACCCCGUUUGAUUACAUGUGCAGGUCUAUUUUUAAAACAGGUCAUGGAUGAAGCACAAGCAAGAACAAAGAACUCAAUAUGUUGGGGAAUGACUUGGGCUUACAUUGCUGCAGUGGUGUGUGGAAUAUGGACAGAAAGGAACAGGAGGGUUCAUGAGGAUAGACGGACCAGGCCACAAGAGAUUGGGAGAAGACUAGUGGAAGAUAUCACCUCAACAUUCAUGCCGAGCAGGUACAAGGCAAUAGGGACACCUCAGGAACAAAGGAUGGCACAAGGCUGGAAUGGCGGGGGGGGAAAUGCCCCAAGUUAAUUGCUAUUUUACUUCUGUUGUAUUUAAUUAAACUGCUUGUUGCAACUUAAAUUUGGUAGGAACAAUAAUAACAUGUAAUUGGUAGGCUAGCGAUAGGGGGGGUUCAAUUAAAAAUAGAACCCAAACCUAUCAACGGCAAAGGUCUAGCAUGUAUGGUAAAUGGACUGAUCUAAAAUCAUGUCCAAUAGGAACCCCUGCCCCAAUAGGGACAAGGACCUUCCUAAGUCUUAGUAGAAGCGAUAUGUGGAAUCACUUACAAAUUAGUGGACCGAAAGGUGAUGGCAGAGUUUUCCCUUGGAAAAGGAAAAGAGGCCAUGGGCACACCAGGGUUUUUACACUCCCCAUUGUCCAAGGCCCACUAUGUGAGAACGAGGAGGCAUAGAUCGUUCUAGGAAUCAUUGAGUCAGUCCCCAAAGGCUUGGAAGAUUAGGCGAUCGUAAGAUCAAAUAAUUGGAUAAGCGCGGAGGGCGUGAGGUGGACCGCUUGUGGUCGCACCUCUUUUUGUUAAGAUCUUUUAUAUUAUCAGUGAUUUUAACUCAAAAAAAUUGGCUGCCACAAUUCACAAGCCCAUUCCCAACUUUUCCAUCCAAGAGAGAGUGAGAGAGGGCGAUCUUGAGGGCGAUUUUUAGGCGACCUACUCUUUUGUUUGCUGUUUUGCAGGUCUUGGAGCAUCUAGGCAGGAAGUAGGGGUGCAAUCUAGGUGGAGAGAGAAGAAAAUUUUGGAUUCUAGUGCUAGAAACCUAGGAUUUUCAAAAAGAUUCCUUAAAACUAGGUACUUUUAUUACUACUUUUUCUUCCAACCCCUACUGUUUUGCAGGCCAUGGGGGAGACCUCCAUGGAGGUUGAUGAAGGUCCAGAGUGGAUGGUGGUCGGAGGGAGCAAGGCUGGCCGGUCGGAUGGAAAAUCUGGCCGGAUAGAAAGACUUAGCGGCAACAAUAAUGGAGGUGCUCCAUUUUCUGGAAGAAGAGGAGGUCGGGGAGGCUACCAAAGGAGCUCCAGACCAGUUCAAGGCAACCCACAACCCAACCAGACCUCGCCGGAGGAGAAACAAAGGUUAGUGGACAGGUACAAAUGGGCUAAACUAGCCGGUGAUGAUUAUUUGCCAAAGGCGAUGGAUUUGUGUGACUUGGAAAGAAGGGAGAGGGUGAGAAACGGAAUGGGGUCACCUGAGGACCUCACUGCCAUGAAAGAACAGAGGAAAGCUCAUGCUGAGGUGAGGAGAAACUCAAUUAAAGCUGGAGAUGGUAUGCUAUCACCAACAACAAAUGCGAUGGAAAUUGCAAGGAGGGCUAGAGCUAGAGCGGGCAAAGCAACAAAAGAAGAUUUGGAGCUUUUGGAAAAACAGAGGAAAUUGAAAGCAGAGCAUCUGAAGAAUGAAAGAGCUCUGAAUGAAGCCACCUUGGGUCCAAUAAUUGACAAGGAGGACUUGGAGAGAAGGAGAAGGAUCAAGGAAGGCAAUGCCACACCCGAUGACAUGCAAUUGGUGGAAAAUCAAAGAAAAUUGAACUUGGGGAAAAAUUCAACACCACUGGCCGGAGGAGGUGCUAGGAGCUUUGCAUCCCUACUGAAACCAGCCCCCACAUUGCCGGAGGGAGUUACAACAAAAUUGAGCUAUGUGGAGCCAACAACAAGGAAUGGAAGGAGGGGAGCGAUGAUCAAACAAGAUUUGAUCAAGAAAAUUGAGGAGAAAUUUGCUGGAACACUACUGAUCAGGAGGCUCACUGAUGAGAAGAUUGACCCAAGGUAUGCCAAGAAUUUUGUUAAAUAUUGUUGGGGAGUGGAGGGAAACAUGUUUAAUAUCUAAAUUAGAAGAUCGGGUGUGAUCCUCAUACAAUUCCGGAGAAGGGAAGAUUAUCUAAAAGUGAGGCAGUCCGGGGACACAUGGAUGAAUGGAGUGUACACAAUUGUGAUGAGCUGGGUGGAAGGAAGAUCAAUUGAAAAUGAGAUCAUCACAAGCUUGCCGGUAUGGAUCCACCUACCGGAAUUCCCAAUGCACCUAUGGUGCCCGGAGGUAUUUUCAGCAAUUGGGAGUGUUCUAGGUACUCCGGUGAAGGCAGAUGCUCACACAACAAAGGGGCCCAAUCCAAAUGGUCCUAGGCUACUGAUCACAAUGAAGACAGAUGGCCAAUUCCCACUAGAAGUCCCAAUUUACAUGACCGGAGAGGAUGGCAAUGACACCGACGACAUCAUCAAAAUUGCAUAUGUAAAAAUGCCAAUUGUAUGCAACAAAUGCAAAGGAUUUGGACACACUCAAGAAGCAUGCAGAGGGCUGGAAUCAGGGUAUGAAAAAAAUAAAAAAUUUAUACCUAACAAAAAUUCUCAGGUGAUCACCGGAGAAGAUGACCAAAAGGUGGUGGAAAUAUUGAGUGGAGAAGAAGAUCAAGUGGAGAAGAAGGGUGAGCUGGAAUCCAUGAACGUGGGUGGCACAGGGAAGGAUAAUGAGCUGGAGGUAGAGGGGGAGAAGGAAGAGGGUGAGAUCACCAAUGAAAAAAUGGUUAAUGAUAAGCAAAUGAAGAAUCAAGACAAAGUAGUGUUGAAAAUGAGGAAGCUUAGCAAAAGAUCAAAGAAAAAGAAGAAAUUAAUCAAAGCUAGGAAGGGAGUAGACUUGUGGAAGCUGGCAAGUCAGAGGAUAGGAAGAUAUGUAAGGGAUUUGGCAAGUACAAGGCGUGGGAAACAAAAUGAAGAGAAAGUACUAGCGGGUGGUGACCUCACCCCGGGUGGAGGUAAGAAUAGUGUUACCUACACUAACAAUGGAAUAACAUGUGAUAUAGGUGACAUUGCUAAUACAAUGGGAAAAAUUCCAUAAGGAGGAAACCCACAUCUACACGCCAAUGACUCAAUAGAAGAUGAGGAGGAGAAUAGAGCCGUUGGGAAGGAGGCAAGUACAACAUGUGACCAACUAGAUGGGCAAAGAGAAGAAAGAGAAGGACAAGGACAAGGGGAAGAAGUGCACAACUCCCAAAUGAACAAGAGUGGGUCUACAAACCCUAAGAUGAUGGCUGACAUCACAAUGGAGGUACAAGGAGAGUCACCCAAAGAUGCUUGUACGGACAAGCCAAAAUACUUCUUCCAAACCCUAGCGGCGGAUCUAAUGGAGAAAGGUGCACCCAAAGACAUCCGUAGGAUCAACAUAUAUGAUCAGCCAGGAUCCUCCCUUGGGGAAAAAAUAAAGAAGCUAGACUUGAAGGACCGGAUCAUAAAAGAGAAGGUCAAAACUAGGAAUGAAAACAUUAGAAAGGGAUAUUUGCCCACACAAAAGGCAAUACUGCCCUUUUGCAAAGGCUAUGAUGGGACCAAAUUCCAGGGGGCAAUUGAGGGAUUUGAGGGUGAAUAUAUAUCAAAAAACACUCUUCCAAACUUCACAUUCCAUGAGUUGGCCGACCAAGAGGAGAGGGAGAAUGGAGACUCACAACCAAGCAUCCAACAACCAUUGGAACCCACUGCCCAAGCUGAGGCCACCACUUCACCCAUCACACACACUGAGAGUGACAACAAUAUGGAGGAUAAAAUCAGUGGGAGAACUAGAAGUGGAGGCAAAGGGAAGGUGUUGAAGAAGGUGGUCGGAUAUGGUAGAAGAAGAAAGCCAAAGAGGGUUAGAGCGACUGCCCAAGUGAAUAUAGGUGCACCAAGGAAGAAGAGAAGAGAAUCACAGGAGGACAACUCUGAAUUAUCCACAUAUGAGUGCCCACCCAUCAUCGGAGAAGACAAGCUCGCCGGAGAAGACAAGCUCACCGGAGAAGACAACCAACUAUCAAUUGAGCUCAAUUGUGAAAUUCAGACCCCUCAACAACAAAAACAGGAUAAACAGAGCAAGAGCACGGGUUAUUCCAAGAGGAGGCAGGAAGGAACACAAACAAUUCCAACAAGAACCAAGAGAAUUUCCAAAAAGAAGCAAAAGGUGAUUUAAAGGAGGGCAACAGAAGAAGAGCUCCAACAAACCAAUUCAAGCAACAACAAUUCAGGUAAAAACAGGAAGGACUACUUAAUUGAACCAGGGAAUUCAAGCAAUGAAGAUGAAGGGGAAACCCAAUUGAUUGAAUCGGAUCCAAUGGAGGAGAGUGAGGAAGAUGACACGGAAGACGAGGAUUAUGUACUUGGAAGGGCAGAGUGGUCCAGGUCACCUAUGCAGGAGGAUGACAAGGGUCGAGAGGGAGACAAGGAGGAGGAAUCUACUCAAUAAUAAAAACAAAAACAUAAAGGUAGGAAGGAAGGGAGGGGGGCACAACAAGCAACAAGGAAGGUACAAGGGAGGUAACUUUAAAAUAAAAUUUUAGUAUAUAUUACUUUGUACAAAUUGUGUAAGAUAAAAUCAGGGAAUACAUCCUAGCUUGCCAUCUAGGGGAAUUAAAUAGAUUGCCAUCUAAGGAAAAUUCUAGCUUGCCAUCUAGGGAACUAGUUUGACAUCUAGGUAAAAAAGAAAUUAAAAGAGAACAAGGAAUAUAUAAACUCUGAGAGCUACUCCCAGCCCUUGGAGCAGCUCAAGAACCAUAUUAGGAACUCAGUUAGUGACCCUAGCUGGCCCCCAAAGCAAAUCUUAGAAAACCUCAAGAGCCAAUUCCAGCUCCUGGAGUUGCUCGCGAGCUGCCCUAGGACCCGAGAACUAGUCCCGAGCUGGCUCGAGAGCUACCUCCAACCCCUGGAGUUACUCGAGAGCCACAAGAGGGACUUAACUAGAGAUCCUACUAGGACCAAAAAACAGCCCUCAGAGAAUCCCAAGAACCAACUCCAGCCCCGGGAGUGGUCCGUGAGCUACUUCAAGACCCGAGAACUAGCCCCGAGCUGGCUUGCGAGCUACUUCCAGCCCCUGGAAUUACUCGAGAGCCAAUGGAGGGACAUAGCCAGAGAUCCCAAUAGGGCCCCGCAACUAGGUCUAGAGAAGCUCAAGAUCAAACUCCAACCCCUGGAGUUGCUCGAGAGCUACAUCAUGACCCGAGAGCUAGCCCCGAACUGGCUCGCGACCUACAUCCAUCCCCUGGAAUUACUCGAGAGCCAGUGGAGGGACUUAGACAGAGACCAUAAUAGGACCCCACAACUAGGUCUAGAGAGGCUCAAGAUCAAACUCCAACCCCUGGAGCUGCUCGAGAGCUACACCUUGACCCGAGAGCUAGCCCCGAGCUGGUUCGCGAGCCACUUCCAGCCCCUGGAACUACUCGAGAGCCAUACGAGGGACUUACCUGGAGAGCCCAAUAGGGCCCUACAACUGCACCUAGAGAAGCCCAAGUCCCAAUCCCAGCCCCUGGAGUUGUUCGAGAGCUACCUUAUGACCCGAGAGCUAGCCCCGAGCUGGCUCGCGAGCUACUUCCAGUCCCUGGAAUGGCUCGCGAGCUACUUUCAGUCCCUGGAAUGGCUCGCGAGAGAAGUGGAGCUGGAAGCGGGGGCAUCUGCGGAGAAAGAAAUAUCGAUGAAGACCAGAGAAGACUACCUGCUCAAUCCUGAACGACACACGAGCUGCAUAUCGGACAGACUGCCUGGAGCUGUAGAUUUUGCGGAGGAAGUCGGGAAUGAUGUGGUCUCUGAUGGGGAAUAUGAGAUAGGCAGAAUUGCAUGGGACAAGCCGCCGGGAGAUACGACUAUGGGAGAGGCGGAGCAAAUUCAGGGUGAUAGUGCCCAGCUGGAGGAGUUCCGGCGAGAUCCAACCCCUGUCUAAAAGCUCUAUCCGACUUAACCACCAGGGGUGGGGUGAGUGGGGGAGGUGAGAUAAAUUUAAUUAAACCGCAAUUAGGAGAGAGUGAUUAGUCAACUAAAAGUUAAAUAAUAGUCAGCUGAUUAGGCAAGCAAAUAGAGGUUAGUAAAAAUAAUUUAACCAAUGAAUUAUGAAAUGGGGGGGAAUGUGGAAAAAUUGCAAGUUAUGAUUGGGGGGUUAUGAGAGAGAUGCAUGUGGAUAAGAAUGAUAGAAUAAAAACAAAAAUAAAAAUGCUAAAUACAAUUAAAAAAGUCUGCACAUGGGCCAAAAGGAGGGAGAGAAAAGGUAUAGACGUGGGCAAAAAUCAAUUGGGAAUAAAAACAAAAAUAAAAACUGCAAUUAAAAAUCCUUGCACAGGGGUAAUAUUUUCCAAAACCCAAACAACUUUAGUACUUAUAUGCAUGCACGUGGGUAGGGAGGGGCAACCAAAGAAAAAUGCUAGAAAUUGGCCCAAUUGCACCCAAUGGGCAAUGGUCCACAAAAUUAAAAAAUCACUAUGCAUGCACGUGGGGGGGGACCAUAUAUGAAAAAUUAAAUAAAAAAUAAUGAUAUACAUAGAUAAGCAAGUGGAGGGUGCAUUUAGAAAUCUAUAGUGUGAAUGGGUCAAAUCAACUCUUUAGAGUUGGUCAAGACUAAACCCCACACAAAAAUGGAGAUGGGCCUAGGGUAGAUAGAAAUGCAAGGGGGCAAAGGCAAAAACUUAAGAGAUCUAGGCAAAUUGGUAAAUCUCAAUCUCAAAUUUGGAUCAAGGAGAGUCAACAAAUAGGGAACUGGAUUUUGACCAACAUGGAAAAUGGUCAACAAGGCCCCAUCUCCCAAUUACACCCAAUUUUGACUUCCGCCAACAGUCAAAAUAGCCAACCACCGAUUUUGACUAAAAACUCAAAUGUGACCAAAAGUCAAAACCCCCGGAUUUGGACCAAAACCCGAAAUGGUCUCAACAUAACCUGGCUAGCUGUGACAGAUGACAAGGUGGGAAGGUGGUUAAAUCACCCAAAACUUAACCAAGAUUAGUCCAAGAUGUCGUUUGGAAGCUGGAAUGUCUACGGACUAAACAUUGACAUAAGGAAGGAUGAGGUAAAGAGAUUUGUUAAGAAGUAUAAGUUGGACAUCUUUGGUCUAUACGAGACCAAGAUUAUGAAACGUAACUUUACACACUGUAGUAAGAUAUUCGGGCAGAAUUUUUCAGUGAUAUCAAACAGGACCGAUGACACAAACCAAAAGCCGGAUUCUAUCUGGCUAGUAUGGGAUGUAAGGAACUGGGAGAUUGAGAGCACCAUUCUGGACGAACACUAUAUACAUUGCGUAGCAAAGAACAAAGGGGGUUUUACAGUUCAUGUAACCUUUGUGCACGGGGCGUCAGAGAGCAACGAGAGGGAAGAGACGUCAGAGGCACGUCUGACCACCGUAGCUUGACCAUCGACCUCAGGGUAGUUGAAGAGGGUGGUGAGACAUGCCUGAGUUACACAAGUCACUACCCAUCAACGCCUCUCAACAAGGACUAGGGCUCCCUCGCUAUGGCAGGACCCCCGGAGAGCUCCCACGGUGCGGAACAUCGUUCUUCGUCCAGAUCGCCGAGUUAGCCCGUAAAAUCGCCCGAUUGGACUACCAAGUCGCCGACAUACAGGAUAACUCGCCGAGUUAAGGCAAGAUCGACAGUAUGGUAGACUGUACAUCUUGGCCCUAGAAACUCGCCGAGUUAGCCCUUAACUAGGCGACUUCCAUAAAUGAAUCAGCGACUUACGACCGUUACUCGGCGGCAGCCAACGUCAUAAAUGUUACCAUAUAUGACCAUAGGCGCGAUCUCCGCCGAUGAGUGCGCCCUCCGAGACCCUAUAAAAGGGGUCUCAAGGGGACACUCAAAGACACGAUUCAAGUUCCACUCUCACACCAGAGCACUACACUACGAAACUCGGCGAGUCUCAUUAGAAUCGCCUAGUUUCACUUGCAGGUAUUUUGACGUAGAGCGUGCGUCGUGGACUCCAAAGCCUCCGGCAUCAACCUCGCACCACCGCGAGCCCUGGUAGCAGAUUCAGUGCUUCAUCAGAGGGGAAGAGGCCUUUCAGAUUCACAAACUCAUGGCUAAGGAAGGAUGAGCUAAAAGGGGUAGUCAGGGAUGCUUGGCAAAUCGAGGUAUGGGGGACCCCGAUGUACAUCUUCACUAGGAGGCUGAACAAUGUGAAGAGGAUACUCAAGAGAUGGAAGACAUCAGAGGAUCAAGCAAAGAAGAGAAUCGCCCAAGCAAAGGCAGAAAUCCAAAAAAACGAGGACUUGUUGGAGGUAAGUCCAUUUGAUGAGGAUAUCCAUGUGAGGCUGGACGGAUGCCUUAAGGAUCUAGAAGGCCUGCUACAGGUGCAGGAGGAAGAUGCGAGGCAGAGGAGCAGGGCAAAUUGGUUGCGACUAGGGGGAUAAGAAUACAAAAUUCUUUGCGGCCAUGACAAGGCAAAGACAAACCCUAAAUUCCCUGUACAAAAUGUUAGGACCAAAUGGUAGGGUGGUGGUAUCUAGGAGUGAAAUGGAGGCAAAAACGCCGGAACACUUCCAGAUACUAUUUGCUGAGGGGGAGGAGACCUUAAGUACCGAAACCAGAAACUUCGUUAAAAAGGUUACGACCGAACAAAAUGCGGAAUUAGAGAGGAUCCCAACGUACGGUGAGAUUAAGAAAGUAGUUAUGGCGCUAAACCCAGACAAAAGCCCUGGUCCAGAUGGUUUCAACGGUGCCUUCUUUAAGGCCUUUUGGGACAUCAUAGACAAGGACCUAGUCAAAGCCAUACAAUCUAUCUUUCUAGGAGAACCCCUCCUGAGACAAGUAAACGCUACGUUCAUUACCUUGGUCCCGAAAACCAAGAAUCCCACAAGGUUGGAUCAGUUUAGGCCCAUAUCUUGCAUAAACACAACGUACAAGAUCCUUUCAAAAGUCUUAACGAACAGGGUGGUGCCAGUUGCAGAUACCUUGAUUGACAGCAAUCAAACCGCCUUCCUACCAGGAAGGCUGAUUGGGGACAAUUACCUACUAGCAACGGAAAUGGUUACGGGAUUCGGUAGGGCAAGUGGGGGAGCAAACGCAGCCAUAAAAGUGGACCUUGCAAAAGCAUUUGAUACGUGCGGCUGGCAGGCGAUAGAGGACACUCUUAGGGACAUGGGAUUCAGUGAAAUGAUCAUCAGGAUCAUAAUGAUGUGUGUGACCACAUCAUCAUUAUCAUUUCUGGUGAAUGAGUCGCCGACACCACAAAUACUGCCCAAAAGAGGAAUAAGGCAAGGAGAUCCCCUCUCCCCGUACAUAUACUGCCCAAAAGAGGAAUAAGGCAAGGAGAUCCCCUCUCCCCGUACAUAUUCUCAAGAGAGGAAUAAGGCAAGGAGAUCCCCUCUCCCCGUACAUAUUCGCAAGAGAGGAAUAAGGCAAGGAGAUCCCCUCUCCCCGUACAUAUUCGCUCUCUUAAUGCAAAACCUGACCAUUCUCAUAAAUGAGAAAGUGGAGAGGAGGCAAAUAAGUACUUUUAAGAAGCACAACGUGAUGGGGAUAUCACACUUGAUCUAUGCGGACGAUCUUUUGAUUUUCUGCAAAGCCAAGGAGGAUUCCUUCAAAUCCAUCGAUGGAGUGUUUAAAGUCUUCGAAUCUAGGACAGGUCUGAGUGUAAGUGACCCAAAGAGUGAGGUGUUCUUUUCAAAUUCCACAAAGAAUAAGGACCGAUUACUGACACGCCUAAGGUUCAAGGAAGGGACCUUCCCAACAACGUAUCUUGGACUGCCUCUAUCACCUAGGAUUUUCUACCCAAAGGACUGUGCCCCCCUAAUUGAAAGAGUCAAUAAGAUGGUAGAGGGUUGGAAAACAAGAUUGUUAUCUCAUGCGGGUAGGGUUCAGCUGUAUCACAGGGGUAUAAUGGGCAUAUUCAAUUUCUGGAAUAUGUCCAACAGACUCCCAGCGGAUACCCUUGAUGAAUUGAGAUCCAUCUCUUACAGAUAUAUGUGGAGUGGGAAGCAAGAUGUCCGAUGGGACCAGAUGACCCUUCCCAAAAAGGAGGGUGGACUGGGACUGAGGUGCUUCAGAGAGUCCGCUGAAGCGGCGAGGAUGAUAAGGUUGGGUAGGAUAUGGUCGGCAGAUGAUUCGGUCUGGGCAUCAUGGAUGAGGGGGAGAUACGUGGGUGGACGCGCUCUCAGAGAUAUAGAGAAGCACCCAAGCUUUGACUCGGCCCUAUGGGCUGAAGUAAUUGAUAAGAAGGAUGUGAUAGAGGGGAGUCUAAAGUGUGAGGCUGAUUAUAAUUGCAUCUGGGUAGGGAAAGGGACUUCCCUAACUUUCAAGAACGCUUGGGACUCCGUCAGGAAUACUGAGCCAAUAGACCACUACGGAGAGGGGGUGUGGACGACUAGUGUAAGGAAAUUCGGCAUAACAAUUUGGAGGGCCAGGUGGUCCAAAAUAUCCAUGAGAGCUGACUGGGCGGGUAGGAUGGGAGGGGAGAACACUGGCCACAUAUUAUGUGGGGGGCCAUGGGAAUCACAAGACCAUGUCUUUUUCAAAUGCAAGUUCUCCAAUGAUCUAUGGACAUAUAUUUUAAAUGCAAAACCCAGUUUGAUUACAUGUGCAUGUCUAUCUUUAGAGCAGGUCAUGGCACAGGCAAAUGCAAGGACGAAGAACUCACCAUGCUGGGGGCUGACGUGGACGUACACGACAGCGAUAGUAUGGGGAAUCUGAACCGAAAGGAACAGGAGAGUGCAUGAGGACAGACGCACGAGCCCACAGUUGAUAGGGAGGAGGACAGUACAGGAUGUAACAGCGACAUUCAAGGUGGACAAGUAUAAAGCAAAAGGUACGAGAAGGGAACAGAGAUGGAUGGAUAUAUGGACCGGAGGUGCCCAGUUGGCGAGAACGUGAAACUUGUUUAAUUCUUCAUAUUUGAUAUUGAGUCUGUAAUCGUAUUUUAAUAGGAACUUGUAUUAAGGGAAACAAAAACUGAGGUAUAUGGUGGGAUGGGGUUCAACUAAAAAUAGAACUCUGUCUUGCCAAAUACUAUGGGGGGACAAUUUCGUAAAUGGAAUGACCUAAAAAGUCAUAUCCAUAUAGAGCUCUAUCUCCCAGGGACUGGACUCUAUUAUUAAAGUAGAAACGAUAUGUGGAAUCACUUAUGUGUAGUGGACCUAAAGGUAAUGACAGAGUUUUCCCUUGGCAAAGGAAAAGAUGCCUUGGGCACACCAGGGUUUUUACACUCCCCAUUGUCUUAGGACCACUACGUAAGAGCGAUGAAGCAUAGAUCGUUCUAGGAAACAUCGAGUCAGUUUCCCAAAGGUUGUGAAGGCCCAAAUGAUCGUAAGAUCCGGGGUCGGAACAAUGCGGAGGGUGUGGGGUGGAUCGCAUGUGAUCACACUCCUUUUCUGUUACAGAAUCUAUAUUAUCAGUUGUUUUGUCUCAAAAAAAAAAUUGACUGCCACAAUUCACAAGCCCAUUCACAUAUUUUGAUCAAAAGUCAAAACAGACUCAAUCUGACGUUGACCAAGAACCAAUGGAGUGAAGACGGCCAAGGACUAGCUAUGACAGACGACAAAGUGGGAAGGUGGUUAAAUCACCCAAAAUUUAACCAAGACUAAUCAAAAAUGUCGUUUGGAAACUGAAAUGUUUACAGACUGAACAGUGACAUAAGGAAGGAUGAGGUAAAGAGAUUUGUCAAGAAGCAUAAAUUGGACAUAUUUGGUCUUUACGAGACCAAGAUAAUGAAGCGUAACUUUGCGCAUUGCAGUAAGAAAUUCGGACAGAAUUUCUCAGCGAUUUCAAACAGGACCGAUGACACAAACCUAAAGCCGGACUCCAUCUGGUUGGUAUGGGAUGUGAGGAACUGGGAGAUUGAGAGUUCCAUUCUGGACGAACAUUACAUACACUGUAUAGCAAAGAACAAAGGGGGUUUUACCCAACUCACGACGGUCUAAACCCAACUCACGUUCCCUAUUGGUGGGUGAACAAUCCAACACUUGGUGAAUUCUUCUUCACAAUGAUAGGAAGAGCAGACAUCGAAGGAUCAAAAAGCAACGUCGCUAUGAACACUUGGCUGCCACAAUUCAAAGGCGUUCAUCAAAGGCAGGUACAUUGGUGAUAAUUUUUCACUAACUACCGAAAUGAUUGCAGGGUUUGAUUGGGCAUAUUGGGCACCACGGGCGUGCAUUAAGGUGGAUAUUGCAAAGGCUUACGACUCUGUUGAAUGGGAUGCAUUGGAAGGGGCAUUGGCUGAUUUUGGAUUUGAUGAUGGUGCAGUCACAUUGAUUAUGGAGUGUGUGCGGAGCACAUUUUUUUCAGCAUUGGUCGAAGGGUGCCCAACCCAGGUAUUUAAAGCGGAAAGAGGUCUACGUCAAGGGGAUCCAUUAUCACCUUACUUGUUUACAUUGAUGAUGGAGAAUUUUUCGGUGGCCAUAGAUGAGAAAGUUCAGAAGGGGGCUAUAAAGUUGUUCAAGUGUCAUGGAAUGAUGGCGGUGUCACAUCUAGCAUAUGCGGAUGAUCUGUUGGUGUUUUGUAAAGCUAAUGUGGGGUUGAUUACAGAAAUUAGCAGAACGUUCAAUGAGUUUGCAUCACGAACUGGUUUGGAGGUGAGUCCAUCGAAAAGUGAGAUAUUUUUUUCUGGUGGCACCUCAAAUGGCGAUGAGUUGGCCAGGAUACUUGGAUGUGUUAUUGGGCAUUUUCCAACACGGUACUUGGGGUUACCUUUGGCACCUAGGAUGCUAACAACGAAAGAUUGUUUAAGGCUUGUUGAGGUGACGGUGAAUAUGGUGGCCAGGUGGAAGACAUGCAAUUUGUCUUAUGCGGGAAGGAUUCAAUUAGUAAGAUGGAGCGUCAUGGGAAAUUUCAUGUUUUGGUGUUCAUCAUGUCGGUUCCCGACGGAGGUAAUAAAGAGAAUUCGUUCUUUAGUUUUUAAUUUCAUGUGGGGUGGGAGGAGGGAAGUGAAGUGGGAAGGAGGGAUGGCGUUGCCGAAAGAUGAGGGGGGGAUUGGUCUUAGGGAAUGGGAGGAUGUGUACAAGGCAAUGGUAAUAAAGAGCGUCAACGGGUGUGGAGGUUGUGCAAUGAUGGGGAAUCAUUGUGGUGUCAAUGGAUGAGGAAGAGGUAUGAGGUUGUGGAGUUGGGGAGAGGUGGUGGAUAUGAAGGAGAUGAUAUUGACAUGCAUUGAUGGACUGGAUCAUUCAUGGAUUGGGCAUAGAACAUCCUUUUCAUUUAAGAAUGCAUGGGAGACGAUAAGGGGGAGGAAUGAGAAGGACACAUUUGCAAAAGGAAUUUGGUCGACUAAUGUGAGUAAGCAUGCGGUCUUCUUAUGGAGAGCAAGAUGGGGGAAGGUAUCAAUACAGGCAGUGUGGGCUGGACGGGAGAGAGUGGCUCAACCGGUGGUAACUACAUGCUUGCUUUGUGAAAGUGAGAUGGAGGAUAUGGAUCAUUUGUUUUUCAAGUGUGAAUUUUCAGGAAAGGUGUGGGAAGAGAUAGAGAAAUGGCUACAAUGGACUAGGAUGGAGUCCUUGGGUGUAUUGAUGGAGUUUGCAAACAAUCUCCCAAGUGAAUCACCACUUUGGGGAUUGGCAUGGGCACUGCUAGCCGCGUCUACUUGGCACUUAUGGGCAGAGAGGAACCGAAGGAAGCACGAGAGGAGAAGCUUGAGUUCUAGGGAGAUAGUCCGUCGAAUUGUCGAAGAUGUGAAGGUCUCCUUUGAGAUAGAAAGAUUCAAGAAAGACGUCGAGAAUCAAAGGCACAUGGAGAUUGUCCAGAGUUUUUUAAAGUCUGUUUUUUUAGCCUAAGUGUUUGUUUUCCUUUUUCUUUUUAUGCUAAGUGUUGUAAAGGGGGGUUAUGAUCAUAGUACGGGUUAGUUGGGAUGAUGGAAGGAUUUUCCCAAGAAAGAUGAAAGAGGAGCAAAAGUAUGGAUCCCACUUGGGUUUUUCAUCUUUCCAUUAUCCUAAGUAACUAAUGUUGAAUGGUAAAAAUUAGAACCUCUCGGAAAAAGGAUAAUCAUAGAAAUAUGUUAAGUAUAUGAGUUCGGUCAUCGAGUUGUAAUGGGUGGCUAGUAGGUUGGCUGGCAAUUUUGUGUGAGUCACCUAACCUUGUUUUUAUUGGUUGGAUGUACUUGUAAGCCUAAGGGCAAGUCUUUUUGACUCCGAGUUCUAGCAACGUAAGUAGCUAGAUCUCCUAUUUUGAAUGCAAUUUACCUGAUAGUGUUCAAAAAAAAAAUUGGCUGCCACAAUUCAUUUCUCUCUUUUUUCCUAAGUUUCAAUUCUUGGAGCUCCAAGAAAAUAUUCGAGAUUUUCAAGAUCGAGAUUUUCAAGAAUCCCAAGGAGAGCAAUCUAGCGAAUUUGGAGGAAGAUGAUUAGAUUUUACAUUCUCUGUUUUAGUUUGGCUCUUGCUUCUUCCUCUCAUUCGAAUGGAGGAGGGAUCGGGGAGGAUGUGGUUACAUAUGCGAGCAUUUUAAAGAAAAGCGUCGAUGAUCAAGUUAAAGAUGUAGAUGGGAGGCAAGAAGUUAAAGAAGUUAGUACGGAUCUUGAAUUUUUCCCGUCUACGAUUGUUAACGACGAGAAGUAUGGAGUUCUUGGAGCGGAUUGCUUCGAAGGGUUGUAAAAAGAUGGGGUGGAACGAUGGUGAUCCGUUUUGUAGGGAGGAAAUUUUACUCACAGUAAGUUGCGGCAUGCAUCAAGAGGCAAUGGGGGAUCGUUGAGGCUUAGAGGUGAAAGUUCGUCGCAGCGGGGUCUUUGUCGUUCAUAUCAAAGAUCUUAAAAAGUUUCGUAGGUCCAUGCUGAUUGGUGAUCAUUUUAUGAUGGAGCGCAUGCUCUUGUGCUACCGUGGAGUAGGGUGGUCGAGUUGGAAAAAAUGGUGGUUCGAAGGCUUCCGGUUUGGGUGACAUUACCUAUGCUCUGUUUUAGUUUGGCGAAUUUAGAGGAUGCCGAUUAUCCAUCGAUAGUGAAAAUCUUUGCAAAGGAUGAUGAUGACAUCGAAGAGUUACAUUCGAUUGAAGUGAAGUAUGUAGAUCCGCCUCCUAGGUGCUUCUAUUGCAAAUGUUAUGGUCAUUGGAGGUCAACAUGCUCGAGAAAAAAAAAGCUAAGGAGGUUUUUGCUGAUCAAGAUCCUCAAGAUGAAGAAAACAUUGUGGAUCACCAUACAUGUGAUGUAGAUCAUCAAACCCAAGAAGUGUUUGUGAGCAAAGUUAAACUCUGAUACCAUACAUGUGAUGUAGAUCAUCAAACCCAAGAAGUGGUUAUGAGCAAAGUUGAGCAAAGUUAGAAGUUAUAGGCCUCAUCAGGACAUUCACAUCAGAAUUUAAGCUCUGAUACCAUGCUGGAUGAAUCAAGGUUGGAUGAUGAUUGAGAGUGAUCCUUGGAGAGAAAAUGAAACAAGAUGAUAUGAUUUUGGACAAACAAAGAGUGAAUUGUGUUGUCUCUUAUGAUGUGUAUUUAUACACUUGAUUGUGUAACAAACUCCUGACAAAGUGAGUGGAGUUUGUCACUCAAGGAUAAAAAAUAUAAUUUAAAGUUAAUAAAAAAUAUUAAUAUAACUAACUAAUAUUCCAAUAGUCUGCUCCCUUGAAUUCUGAUUUCAUGGCGAUUAACUCAAUUAAAUUAUUUGAUCAUAAAAUUGGGACGGUUUGUGAUAACUUACAGACUUAUUCCCAAAAUCAUCUUGUUAGUGAUCAAACUUCACAUUCCAACAUAUGUCUGAUACGACGAUCAAGCCAAAUGAAACAAAUUUCCUGAUAUUGAGACUUAGCCGACCUAAUCUCUUUUGUUAAGCUAAUUAGGGUAAAACUAACCCUAAUUAGCUUUUCAACCAAGCGCGAUAACCAAUUGUGUGAAUCAAUGGUUCCUCUCGUACUAGGUUGAAUUACUAUCGCAGCACGAUCAUUAGUAGGGUCAAACUAACCUGUCUCACGACGGUCUAAACCCUGCUCACGCUCCCUAUUGGUUGGUGAACAAUCCAACACUUAGUGAAUUCUUCUUCACAAUGAUAGGAAGAGCCGACAUCGAAGGAUCAAAAAGCAACGUCGUUAUGAACGCUUGACUGCCACAACUGGGGGACACAACAAGCAACAAGGGAGGUACAAGGGAGGUAACUUUAAAAUAAAAUUUUAGUAUAUAUUAUUUUGUACGAAUUGUAUAAGGAAAAACAGGGAAUAUAUACUAGUUUGCCAUCUAGGAUAAAUAAAUAGAUUGCCAUCUAAGGAAAAUUCUAGCUUGCCAUCUAGGGAACUAGAUUGACAUCUAGGAAAAAAGAAAUUAAAAGAGAACAAGGAAUAUAUAAACUCUGAAAUUAAUACCACAGUACUAGGGCAUAGUUUAACAACUAGGGUUAAAAUCUCCGUUGAUUCCAACUUGUAAUAAGAAAGAUAAUAACAAUAGUGUGAAUCCAUCAAGUCACCCGAGUACAACUUCAAAAAUUGUAUUAGGGGUGGUACACUGAAAAUUCAGGGUACAACUGACAAAGUGGGUUUAACUAGGCUAAUCUAAGCCUAAGUACUGGUGGGAAAAUCAAUAAAAGGGAAAAUUUUCAUAUAGCCAAAAAUGAUGAAAAAUUGGCUAAGUGUAAAACAAAAAAUAAAAACGAUAAAAAUGAUAAGAAUGGAACAGGGAGCUGGUCUAAACAAGAGAACAAAGGGCAUAGAUACAUCUGCAUGCUUCAGCCUCAUAUACCAAGGGCAAGGGUGGCUCGUGAGCCACCCCUUCACCCAAGAUCUAGACCCAAAUGGGUUCGGGAGCUACUUCCAGCCCUUGGAGCAGCUCAAGAACCAUAUUAGGAUCUCAGACAGUGACCCUAGCUGUCCCCCAAACCGAGUCUUAGAAAACCUCAAGAGCCAAUUCCAGCUCCUGGAGUUGCUCGCGAGCUGCCCUACGACCCGAGAGCUAGCCCCGAGCUGGUUCGCGAGCUACUUCCAGCCCCUGGAACUGCUUGGGAGCCAGUGGAGGGACUUAGCCAGAGACCCAAAUAGGACCCCACAAAUAUGCCUAGAAAAGAUCAAGAUCAAAUCCCAACCCCUGGAAUUGAUCGAGAGCUACAACAGUACCCGAGAGCUAGCCCCGAGCUGGUUCGCGAGCUACUUCCAGCCCCUGGAAUUACUUGGGAACCAUGCGAGGAACUUAUCUAGAGACCCCAAUAGGACCCUACAAAUGCACCUACUGAAGUUCAAUUCCCACCCCCUGGACUUGUUCGAGAACUACCCUAUGACCCGAGAGCUAGCCCCGAGCUGGCUCGCGAACUACUUCCAGUCCCUGGAAUGGCUCGCGAGCUACUUUCAGUCCCCGGAUUGGCUCGCGAGCUACUUUCAGUCCCCGGACUGGCUCGCGAGCUACUUUCAGCCCCUGGAAUGGCUCGCAAACUACUCUAAGUCCCUGGAAUGGCUCGCGAGCUACUUUCAGUCCUUGGAUUGGCUCGUGAGCUACUCUAAGCCCCUGGAAUGGCUCGUGAGCUAUUUUCAGUUCCUGGACUUGCUCGCGGGCUACUUUCAGCCCCUGGAUUGCUCGCGAGCUACUUUCAGCCCCUGGAUGGGCUCGUGAGCUAUUUCCAGGCAUGGACCCGGGAUGAAACCACCUACCCGAGAGUGACCCGACAAGGACCCGUUAGCAAUUCUCAUCAAAACAAAUGGUCAGGGAUUCCACACCAAACCCUAGGUUCACUAACCGACCCGACACAGACCCGGUAAACAAAAAGGCAGUGAAAAUAAAAUAAAUAAACAUAAAAAUGUCUUUUGGGAGCUGGAAUGUGUAUGGGCUGAAUAGUGACCUAAGGAAGAAUGCGGUAAAGAAAUUUGUGAAAAAACACAAGGUAGACCUCUUUGGACUAUAUGAAACGAAAAUCAUGAAGAAGAACUUCCAACAUAUCAGUAAGAUAUUUGGACAAAAAUUCUCAGUAAUAUCAAACAGAGAACAAUCUGACCUUAGGGUAGAUUCCAUCUGGAUGGUAUGGGACACUGGUUUUUGGGACAUAGAAGAUCCAAUCCUACAUGACCACUACAUACAUUGUUUUGCAAAAAACAAAGGGGGGUUCAAUAUAAACAUAACCAUGGUGUAUGCAUCGUCAGACUAUCAGGUGAGGGAGGAAACAUGGAGGGACCUAAAAACACUAAGUAGAACCAUUAGGGGCCCAUGGAUUGUCCUUGGUGAUUUCAAUGAGGUUAGAAAUAGGGAGGAUAGGAUUGGGAAGCAUGCGGUUGUAAAAAUGCCCCACAUUAGACAAUUUAACAAUGACCUAAACGAAGCACGCUUAAAAGAAAUCAUUGUAAAUGGCAACCCAACAACUUGGCAUAAUAAAAGACAUGGAGAACAUAGGGUAUGCAGUAGAAUAGACAAGGGUUUUGGAAAUACCGAACUGUUCGAUCUAUGGCCGGACAUCAGAUUGGAUAGCCACUCAGGUGGAUCAUCUGAUCACCGUAGUCUAACCAUGGACCUUAGGACGGUUCAGGAUAAGAAGAAGCCCUUUAGAUUCACCAACUCAUGGCUAAGGAAGGAAGAACUGAAGGGGAUAGUACAAGAGGCAGGGCAGAUAGAUGUCUGGGGCACGCCGAUGUACAUUUUCACAAAGAAACUCAACAACGUCAAGAGGGUCCUGAAGAAAUGGAAGACAUCAGAGGAUCAACAAAGGAAGAUGAUGGCUCAGCUGGAGGAGGAGGUCAACAAAGAUGAAAGUUUGCUUCAACAAACACCGUUUGAUGAAGCAAUCCAUGAUAGGUUAGAUGCCACAAAUAGGAAGAUAGAUGCCCUAACUAAAACGCAAGAGGAAAAUGCUAGACAAAGGAGUAGAGCCUACUGGUUGCACCUAGGAGAUAAGAAUACUAAGUUCUUUGCAGCCAUGACCAAACAGAGAAAAGCAUUAAAUUCUCUAUACAGGAUGCUAGGGCCAAAUGGGAGGGUAAUGGUGUCUAGGAGUGAGAUGGAGGAGAAGACCCUAGCACAUUUUAAGAGCCUGUUUGCUGAAGGGGAGGAGAGCAUCUCUAGGGAAACUAGGAAUUUUACAAAGAGAGUAACACCACAACAGAACCUAGACCUAGAGCAAAUCCCUACCUAUGAAGAGGUAAAAAAGGUUGUAAUGAGCCUAAAUCCAGAUAAGAGCCCUGGUCCAGAUGGGUUUAAUGGAGCCUUCUUUAGGGCUUUUUGGACCAUAAUGGACAAGGAUCUAGUAAAAGCAAUACAAUCAAUUUUCGUAGGGGACCCACUCCUAAGGCAAGUGAACUCCACCUUUGUGACCUUAAUACCAAAAAUCAAAAAUCCUACUAGAUUGGAUCAAUUCAGACCAAUAUCAUGUAUUAAUACAACAUAUAAGAUCCUAUCUAAGGUCAUCACAAAUAGGGUGGUUCCAGUAGUAGACACCAUAAUAGACAACAACCAAACAGCCUUCCUCCCAGGAAGGCUAAUUGGGGACAACUACCUACUAGCAACAGAGAUGGUGACAGGUUUUGGGAGGGGAAAUGGAGGGGCCAAUGCUGCUAUAAAGGUUGACCUAGCAAAGGCCUUUGACACAGUAAGCUGGGAGGCGAUAGAGGGUACAAUGGUAGACCUAGGAUUCAGCCAGAAGAUUGUGAGGAUAAUAAUGAUGUGCAUCACCACAUCAUCUCUGUCCUUCCUUGUAAAUGGCUCACCCACACCACAAAUCCAACCCAGGAGGGGAAUCAGACAAGGUGACCCCUUAUCACCCUACAUAUUUGCU
rnacentral:lncRNA from 1 species